rnacentral:rRNA from 1 species
CCUACGGGAGGCAGCAGUGGGGAAUAUUGGACAAUGGGGGAAACCCUGAUCCAGCAAUGCCGCGUGAGUGAUGAAGGCCUUAGGGUCGUAAAGCUCUUUUACCAGGGAUGAUAAUGACAGUACCUGGAGAAUAAGCUCCGGCUAACUCCGUGCCAGCAGCCGCGGUAAUACGGAGGGAGCUAGCGUUGUUCGGAAUUACUGGGCGUAAAGCGUGCGUAGGCGGUUAUUCAAGUCAGAGGUGAAAGCCCGGGGCUCAACCCCGGAACGGCCUUUGAAACUAGAUAACUAGAAUCUUGGAGAGGUCAGUGGAAUUCCGAGUGUAGAGGUGAAAUUCGUAGAUAUUCGGAAGAACACCAGUGGCGAAGGCGACUGACUGGACAAGUAUUGACGCUGAGGUACGAAAGCGUGGGGAGCAAACAGGAUUAGAUACCCUGGUAGUCCACGCCGUAAACGAUGAUAACUAGCUGUCCGGACACUUGGUGUUUGGGUGGCGCAGCUAACGCAUUAAGUUAUCCGCCUGGGGAGUACGGUCGCAAGAUUAAAACUCAAAGGAAUUGACGG